ACACACACACACACACACACACACACACACACAGGACUAACAACAGACCCUACCUUCUCAGGCCAGGUCUCUCACACACAGGACUAGCAACAGACCCUACCUUCUCAGGCCAGGUCUCUCACACACAGGACUAGUAACAGACCCUACCUUCUCAGUUCAGGUCUCUCACACACAGGACUAACAACAUACCCUACCUUCUCAGGCCAGGUCUCUCACACACAGGACUAACAACAGACCCUACCUUCUCAGGCCAGGUCUCUCACACACAGGACUAGUAACAGACCCUACCUUCUCAGGCCGGGUCUCUCACACACAGGACUAGUAACAGACCCUACCUUCUCAGGCCAGGUCUCUCACACAGAGGACUAGUAACAGACCCUACCUUCUCAGGCCAGGUAAAACACACACAGGACUAGCAACAUACCCUACCUUCUCAGGCCAGGUAAAACACACACAGGACUAGUAACAGACCCUACCUUCUCAGGCCAGGUAAAACACACACAGGACUAGCAACAUACCCUACCUUCUCAGGCCAGGUAAAACACACAGGACUAGUAACAGACCCUACCUUCUCAGGCCAGGUAAAACACACACAGGACUAGCAACAUACCCUACCUUCUCAGGCCAGGUCUCUCACACACAGGACUAGUAACAGACCCUACCUUCUCAGGCCAGGUCUCUCACACACAGGACUAGUAACAGACCCUACCUUCUCAGGCCAGGUCUCUCACACACAGGACUAGUAACAGACCCUACCUUCUCAGACCAGGUAAAACACACACAGGACUAGUAACAGACCCUACCUUCUCAGGCCAGGUAAAACACACACAGGACUAGUAACAGACCCUACCUUCUCAGACCAGGUAAAACACACACAGGACUAGUAACAGACCCUACCUUCUCAGACCAGGUAAAACACACACAGGACUAGUAACAGACCCUACCUUCUCAGGCCAGGUCUCUCACACACAGGACUAGUAACAGACCCUACCUUCUCAGGCCAGGUCAAACACACACAGGACUAGUAACAGACCCUGCCUUCUCAGGCCAGGUAAAACACACACAGGACUAGUAACAGACCCUACCUUCUCAGGCCAGGUAAAACACACACAGGACUAGUAACAGACCCUACCUUCUCAGGCCAGGUCUCUCACACACAGGACUAGUAACAGACCCUACCUUCUCAGGCCGGGUCUCUCACACACAGGACUAGUAACAGACCCUACCUUCUCAGGCCAGGUCUCUCACACAGAGGACUAGUAACAGACCCUACCUUCUCAGGCCAGGUAAAAGACACACAGGACUAGCAACAUACCCUACCUUCUCAGGCCAGGUAAAACACACACAGGACUAGUAACAGACCCUACCUUCUCAGGCCAGGUAAAACACACACAGGACUAGCAACAUACCCUACCUUCUCAGGCCAGGUAAAACACACACAGGACUAGUAACAGACCCUACCUUCUCAGGCCAGGUAAAACACACACAGGACUAGUAACAGACCCUACCUUCUCAGGCCAGGUAAAACACACACAGGACUAGCAACAUACCCUACCUUCUCAGGCCAGGUCUCUCACACACAGGACUAGUAACAGACCCUACCUUCUCAGGCCAGGUCUCUCACACACAGGACUAGUAACAGACCCUACCUUCUCAGGCCAGGUCUCUCACACACAGGACUAGUAACAGACCCUACCUUCUCAGACCAGGUAAAACACACACAGGACUAGUAACAGACCCUACCUUCUCAGGCCAGGUAAAACACACACAGGACUAGUAACAGACCCUACCUUCUCAGACCAGGUAAAACACACACAGGACUAGUAACAGACCCUACCUUCUCAGACCAGGUAAAACACACACAGGACUAGUAACAGACCCUACCUUCUCAGGCCAGGUCUCUCACACACAGGACUAGUAACAGACCCUACCUUCUCAGGCCAGGUCUCUCACACACAGGACUAGUAACAGACCCUACCUUCUCAGGCCAGGUCAAACACACACAGGACUAGUAACAGACCCUGCCUUCUCAGGCCAGGUAAAACACACACAGGACUAGUAACAGACCCUACCUUCUCAGGCCAGGUAAAACACACACAGGACUAGUAACAGACCCUACCUUCUCAGGCCAGGUCUCUCACACACAGGACUAGUAACAGACCCUACCUUCUCAGGCCGGGUCUCUCACACACAGGACUAGUAACAGACCCUACCUUCUCAGGCCAGGUCUCUCACACAGAGGACUAGUAACAGACCCUACCUUCUCAGACCAGGUCUCUCACACACAGGACUAGUAACAGACCCUACCUUCUCAGGCCAGGUCUCUCACACACAGGACUAGUAACAGACCCUACCUUCUCAGGCCAGGUAAAACACACACAGGACUAGCAACAUACCCUACCUUCUCAGGCCAGGUAAAACACACACAGGACUAGUAACAGACCCUACCUUCUCAGGCCAGGUAAAACACACACAGGACUAGCAACAUACCCUACCUUCUCAGGCCAGGUAAAACACACAGGACUAGUAACAGACCCUACCUUCUCAGGCCAGGUAAAACACACACAGGACUAGCAACAUACCCUACCUUCUCAGGCCAGGUCUCUCACACACAGGACUAGUAACAGACCCUACCUUCUCAGGCCAGGUCUCUCACACACAGGACUAGUAACAGACCCUACCUUCUCAGGCCAGGUCUCUCACACACAGGACUAGUAACAGACCCUACCUUCUCAGACCAGGUAAAACACACACAGGACUAGUAACAGACCCUACCUUCUCAGGCCAGGUAAAACACACACAGGACUAGUAACAGACCCUACCUUCUCAGACCAGGUAAAACACACACAGGACUAGUAACAGACCCUACCUUCUCAGACCAGGUAAAACACACACAGGACUAGUAACAGACCCUACCUUCUCAGGCCAGGUCUCUCACACACAGGACUAGUAACAGACCCUACCUUCUCAGGCCAGGUCAAACACACACAGGACUAGUAACAGACCCUGCCUUCUCAGGCCAGGUAAAACACACACAGGACUAGUAACAGACCCUACCUUCUCAGGCCAGGUAAAACACACACAGGACUAGUAACAGACCCUACCUUCUCAGGCCAGGUCUCUCUCACACAGGACUAGUAACAGACCCUACCUUCUCAGGCCAGGUCUCUCACACACAGGACUAGUAACAGACCCUACCUUCUCAGGCCGGGUCUCUCACACACAGGACUAGUAACAGACCCUACCUUCUCAGGCCAGGUAAAACACACAGGACUAGUAACAGACCCUACCUUCUCAGGCCAGGUCUCUCACACACAGGACUAGUAACAGACCCUACCUUCUCAGGCCAGGUAAAACACACACAGGACAAGCAACAUACCCUACCUUCUCAGGCCAGGUAAAACACACACAGGACUAGCAACAUACCCUACCUUCUCAGGCCAGGUCUCUCACACACAGGACUAGUAACAGACCCUACCUUCUCAGGCCAGGUCUCUCACACACAGGACUAGUAACAGACCCUACCUUCUCAGGCCAGGUCUCUCACACACAGGACUAGUAACAGACCCUACCUUCUCAGACCAGGUAAAACACACACAGGACUAGUAACAGACCCUACCUUCUCAGGCCAGGUAAAACACACACAGGACUAGUAACAGACCCUACCUUCUCAGACCAGGUAAAACACACACAGGACUAGUAACAGACCCUACCUUCUCAGACCAGGUAAAACACACACAGGACUAGUAACAGACCCUACCUUCUCAGGCCAGGUCUCUCACACACAGGACUAGUAACAGACCCUACCUUCUCAGGCCAGGUCAAACACACACAGGACUAGUAACAGACCCUGCCUUCUCAGGCCAGGUAAAACACACACAGGACUAGUAACAGACCCUGCCUUCUCAGGCCAGGUAAAACACACACAGGACUAGUAACAGACCCUACCUUCUCAGGCCAGGUCUCUCACACACAGGACUAGUAACAGACCCUACCUUCUCAGGCCGGGUCUCUCACACACAGGACUAGUAACAGACCCUACCUUCUCAGGCCAGGUCUCUCACACAGAGGACUAGUAACAGACCCUACCUUCUCAGGCCAGGUAAAAGACACACAGGACUAGCAACAUACCCUACCUUCUCAGGCCAGGUAAAACACACACAGGACUAGUAACAGACCCUACCUUCUCAGGCCAGGUAAAACACACAGGACUAGUAACAGACCCUACCUUCUCAGGCCAGGUAAAACACACACAGGACUAGUAACAGACCCUACCUUCUCAGGCCAGGUAAAACACACACAGGACUAGCAACAUACCCUACCUUCUCAGGCCAGGUAAAACACACAGGACUAGUAACAGACCCUACCUUCUCAGGCCAGGUAAAACACACACAGGACUAGUAACAGACCCUACCUUCUCAGGCCAGGUAAAACACACACAGGACUAGUAACAGACCCUACCUUCUCAGGCCAGGUAAAACACACACAGGACUAGCAACAUACCCUACCUUCUCAGGCCAGGUCUCUCACACACAGGACUAGUAACAGACCCUACCUUCUCAGGCCAGGUCUCUCACACACAGGACUAGUAACAGACCCUACCUUCUCAGGCCAGGUCUCUCACACACAGGACUAGUAACAGACCCUACCUUCUCAGACCAGGUAAAACACACACAGGACUAGUAACAGACCCUACCUUCUCAGGCCAGGUAAAACACACACAGGACUAGUAACAGACCCUACCUUCUCAGACCAGGUAAAACACACACAGGACUAGUAACAGACCCUACCUUCUCAGACCAGGUAAAACACACACAGGACUAGUAACAGACCCUACCUUCUCAGGCCAGGUCUCUCACACACAGGACUAGUAACAGACCCUACCUUCUCAGGCCAGGUCUCUCACACACAGGACUAGUAACAGACCCUACCUUCUCAGGCCAGGUCAAACACACACAGGACUAGUAACAGACCCUGCCUUCUCAGGCCAGGUAAAACACACACAGGACUAGUAACAGACCCUACCUUCUCAGGCCAGGUAAAACACACACAGGACUAGUAACAGACCCUACCUUCUCAGGCCAGGUCUCUCACACACAGGACUAGUAACAGACCCUACCUUCUCAGGCCGGGUCUCUCACACACAGGACUAGUAACAGACCCUACCUUCUCAGGCCAGGUCUCUCACACAGAGGACUAGUAACAGACCCUACCUUCUCAGACCAGGUCUCUCACACACAGGACUAGUAACAGACCCUACCUUCUCAGGCCAGGUCUCUCACACACAGGACUAGUAACAGACCCUACCUUCUCAGGCCAGGUAAAACACACACAGGACUAGCAACAUACCCUACCUUCUCAGGCCAGGUAAAACACACACAGGACUAGUAACAGACCCUACCUUCUCAGGCCAGGUAAAACACACACAGGACUAGCAACAUACCCUACCUUCUCAGGCCAGGUAAAACACACAGGACUAGUAACAGACCCUACCUUCUCAGGCCAGGUAAAACACACACAGGACUAGCAACAUACCCUACCUUCUCAGGCCAGGUCUCUCACACACAGGACUAGUAACAGACCCUACCUUCUCAGGCCAGGUCUCUCACACACAGGACUAGUAACAGACCCUACCUUCUCAGGCCAGGUCUCUCACACACAGGACUAGUAACAGACCCUACCUUCUCAGACCAGGUAAAACACACACAGGACUAGUAACAGACCCUACCUUCUCAGGCCAGGUAAAACACACACAGGACUAGUAACAGACCCUACCUUCUCAGACCAGGUAAAACACACACAGGACUAGUAACAGACCCUACCUUCUCAGACCAGGUAAAACACACACAGGACUAGUAACAGACCCUACCUUCUCAGGCCAGGUCUCUCACACACAGGACUAGUAACAGACCCUACCUUCUCAGGCCAGGUCAAACACACACAGGACUAGUAACAGACCCUGCCUUCUCAGGCCAGGUAAAACACACACAGGACUAGUAACAGACCCUACCUUCUCAGGCCAGGUAAAACACACACAGGACUAGUAACAGACCCUACCUUCUCAGGCCAGGUCUCUCUCACACAGGACUAGUAACAGACCCUACCUUCUCAGGCCAGGUCUCUCACACACAGGACUAGUAACAGACCCUACCUUCUCAGGCCGGGUCUCUCACACACAGGACUAGUAACAGACCCUACCUUCUCAGGCCAGGUAAAACACACAGGACUAGUAACAGACCCUACCUUCUCAGGCCAGGUCUCUCACACACAGGACUAGUAACAGACCCUACCUUCUCAGGCCAGGUAAAACACACACAGGACAAGCAACAUACCCUACCUUCUCAGGCCAGGUAAAACACACACAGGACUAGCAACAUACCCUACCUUCUCAGGCCAGGUCUCUCACACACAGGACUAGUAACAGACCCUACCUUCUCAGGCCAGGUCUCUCACACACAGGACUAGUAACAGACCCUACCUUCUCAGGCCAGGUAAAACACACACAGGACAAGCAACAUACCCUACCUUCUCAGGCCAGGUAAAACACACACAGGACUAGCAACAUACCCUACCUUCUCAGGCCAGGUCUCUCACACACAGGACUAGUAACAGACCCUACCUUCUCAGGCCAGGUCUCUCACACACAGGACUAGUAACAGACCCUACCUUCUCAGGCCAGGUAAAACACACACAGGACUAGUAACAGACCCUACCUUCUCAGGCCAGGUAAAACACACACAGGACUAGCAACAUACCCUACCUUCUCAGGCCAGGUCUCUCACACACAGGACUAGUAACAGACCCUACCUUCUCAGGCCAGGUCUCUCACACACAGGACUAGUAACAGACCCUACCUUCUCAGGCCAGGUCUCUCACACACAGGACUAGUAACAUACCCUACCUUCUCAGGCCAGGUCUCUCACACACAGGACUAGUAACAGACCCUACCUUCUCAGGCCAGGUAAAACACACACAGGACUAGUAACAGACCCUACCUUCUCAGGCCAGGUAAAACACACACAGGACUAGCAACAUACCCUACCUUCUCAGGCCAGGUCUCUCACACACAGGACUAGUAACAGACCCUACCUUCUCAGGCCAGGUCUCUCACACACAGGACUAGUAACAGACCCUACCUUCUCAGGCCAGGUCUCUCACACACAGGACUAGUAACAGACCCUACCUUCUCAGGCCAGGUCAAACACACACAGGACUAGUAACAGACCCUGCCUUCUCAGGCCAGGUAAAACACACACAGGACUAGUAACAGACCCUACCUUCUCAGGCCAGGUAAAACACACACAGGACUAGUAACAGACCCUACCUUCUCAGGCCAGGUCUCUCACACACAGGACUAGUAACAGACCCUACCUUCUCAGGCCAGGUAAAACACACACAGGACUAGUAACAGACCCUACCUUCUCAGGCCAGGUCUCUCACACACAGGACUAGUAACAGACCCUACCUUCUCAGGCCAGGUAAAACACACACAGGACUAGCAACAUACCCUACCUUCUCAGGCCAGGUAAAACACACAGGACUAGUAACAGACCCUACCUUCUCAGGCCAGGUCUCUCACACACAGGACUAGUAACAGACCCUACCUUCUCAGGCCAGGUAAAACACACACAGGACAAGCAACAUACCCUACCUUCUCAGGCCAGGUAAAACACACACAGGACUAGCAACAUACCCUACCUUCUCAGGCCAGGUCUCUCACACACAGGACUAGUAACAGACCCUACCUUCUCAGGCCAGGUCUCUCACACACAGGACUAGUAACAGACCCUACCUUCUCAGGCCAGGUCUCUCACACACAGGACUAGUAACAGACCCUACCUUCUCAGGCCAGGUAAAACACACACAGGACUAGCAACAUACCCUACCUUCUCAGGCCAGGUCUCUCACACACAGGACUAGUAACAGACCCUACCUUCUCAGGCCAGGUCUCUCACACACAGGACUAGUAACAUACCCUACCUUCUCAGGCCAGGUCUCUCACACACAGGACUAGUAACAGACCCUACCUUCUCAGGCCAGGUCUCUCACACACAGGAUUAGUAACAGACCCUACCUUCUCAGGCCAGGUCUCUCACACACAGGACUAGUAACAUACCCUACCUUCUCAGGCCAGGUAAAACACACAGACCUGAACAUGUAGCAGAUAUGAUUUGUGUUGAGUAGAGUCAGACAGAAUCCAGAAAUCUGAAACGGAUUAAAUAUCUAUAGAAUCAAUCCAGACGUGGUUCCAUUCCAGAUCUAAUGCCUAUAUGUUGUAGGUGUUUUCUAGUCAGGCAGACGACACACUGAUCACACACUGACUCCCAUAGCUACUGCUACAGAAUGUAGUCAUCUCUGCUUUGGUUGACAACAGGAAUCCUCUACUGUUAGCCAAUAGCGUUUCAGUGGUCGUUAUGCAGAUUCUCUCUUUCUCCUCGCUUCAGUGAAUCUCAUCAGCAGAGCCUGAUAAUGGAGUGUGUGUGUGUGUGUGUGUGUGUGUGUGUGUGUGUGUGUGUGUGUGUGUGUGUGUGUGUGUGUGUGUGUGUGUGUGUGUUCUGAUCUGCAUAUCGGACCACACGACAUGCGUGCUAAGGGGAGUGUGUUGAGCAUAUGGUGUUUAGCAGGCUCAUCUGUCUUCUCCUCAACCUACACCAGUAACACACACACACACACACACGUCUCUCUGCUAGUCUAGUACAACACACACGUCUCUCUGCUAGUCUAGUACAACACACACGUCUCUCUGCUAGUCUAGUUAAACACACACGUCUCUCUGCUAGUCUAGUACAACACACACGUCUCUCUGCUAGUCUAGUUAAACACACACGUCUCUCUGCUAGUCUAGUAAAACACACACGUCUCUCUGCUAGUCUAGUAAAACACACACGUCUCUCUGCUAGUCUAGUUAAACACACACGUCUCUCUGCUAGUCUAGUUAAACACACACGUCUCUCUGCUAGUCUAGUAAAACACACACGUCUCUCUGCUAGUCUAGUUAAACACACACGUCUCUCUGCUAGUCUAGUAAAACACACACGUCUCUCUGCUAGUCUAGUAAAACACACACACCUCUCUGCUAGUCUAGUUAAACACACACGUCUCUGCUAGUCUAGUUAAACACACACGUCUCUCUGCUAGUCUAGUAAAACACACACGUCUCUCUGCUAGUCUAGUAAAACACACACGUCUCUCUGCUAGUCUAGUUAAACACACACGUCUCUGCUAGUCUAGUUAAACACACACGUCUCUCUGCUAGUCUAGUACAACACACACGUCUCUCUGCUAGUCUAGUUAAACACACACGUCUCUGCUAGUCUAGUUAAACACACACGUCUCUCUGCUAGUCUAGUACAACACACACGUCUCUCUGCUAGUCUAGUUAAACACACACGUCUCUCUGCUAGUCUAGUACAACACACACGUCUCUGCUAGUCUAGUUAAACACACACGUCUCUCUGCUAGUCUAGUACAACACACACGUCUCUCUGCUAGUCUAGUACAACACACACGUCUCUCUGCUAGUCUAGUUAAACACACACACGUCUCUCUGCUAGUCUAGUACAACACACACGUCUCUCUGCUAGUCUAGUACAACACACACGUCUCUCUGCUAGUCUAGUACAACACACACGUCUCUCUGCUAGUCUAGUACAACACACACGUCUCUCUGCUAGUCUAGUUAAACACACACGUCUCUCUGCUAGUCUAGUACAACACACACGUCUCUCUGCUAGUCUAGUACAACACACACGUCUCUCUGCUAGUCUAGUAUAACACACACACGUCUCUCUGCUAGUCUAGUACAACACACACGUCUCUCUGCUAGUCUAGUAUAACACACACACGUCUCUCUGCUAGUCUAGUAAAACACACACGUCUCUCUGCUAGUCUAGUACAACACACACGUCUCUCUGCUAGUCUAGUUAAACACACACGUCUCUCUGCUAGUCUAGUACAACACACACGUCUCUCUGCUAGUCUAGUACAACACACACGUCUCUCUGCUAGUCUAGUUAAACACACACGUCUCUGCUAGUCUAGUACAACACACACGUCUCUCUGCUAGUCUCGUACAACACACACGUCUCUCUGCUAGUCUAGUUAAACACACACGUCUCUCUGCUAGUCUAGUUAAACACACACGUCUCUCUGCUAGUCUAGUUAAACACACACGUCUCUCUGCUAGUCUAGUUAAACACACACACGUCUCUCUGCUAGUCUAGUUAAACACACACGUCUCUCUGCUAGUCUAGUACAACACACACGUCUCUCUGCUAGUCUAGUACAACACACACGUCUCUCUGCUAGUCUAGUACAACACACACGUCUCUCUGCUAGUCUAGUACAACACACACGUCUCUCUGCUAGUCUAGUACAACACACACGUCUCUCUGCUAGUCUAGUACAACACACACGUCUCUCUGCUAGUCUAGUACAACACACACGUCUCUCUGCUAGUCUAGUUAAACACACACGUCUCUCUGCUAGUCUAGUACAACACACACGUCUCUCUGCUAGUCUAGUUAAACACACACACGUCUCUCUGCUAGUCUAGUUAAACACACACGUCUCUCUGCUAGUCUAGUUAAACACACACGUCUCUCUGCUAGUCUAGUUAAACACACACGUCUCUCUGCUAGUCUAGUUAAACACACACGUCUCUCUGCUAGUCUAGUUAAACACACACGUCUCUCUGCUAGUCUAGUUAAACACACACGUCUCUCUGCUAGUCUAGUACAACACACACGUCUCUCUGCUAGUCUAGUACAACACACACGUCUCUCUGCUAAUCUAGUACAACACACACGUCUCUCUGCUAGUCUAGUUAAACACACACGUCUCUCUGCUAGUCUAGUACAACACACACGUCUCUCUGCUAGUCUAGUACAACACACACGUCUCUCUGCUAAUCUAGUUCAACACACACGUCUCUCUGCUAGUCUAGUUAAACACACACGUCUCUCUGCUAGUCUAGUAAAACACACACGUCUCUCUGCUAGUCUAGUUAAACACACGUCUCUCUGCUAGUCUAGUUAAACACACACGUCUCUCUGCUAGUCUAGUUAAACACACACGUCUCUCUGCUAGUCUAGUACAACACACACGUCUCUCUGCUAGUCUAGUACAACACACACUCUAAACUAUUUUUCCUUCUCUCCCUCUCCCU